rnacentral:rRNA from 1 species
UAGGGAAUCUUCGGCAAUGGACGAAAGUCUGACCGAGCAACGCCGCGCGAGCGAAGAAGGUCUUCGGGUCGUUAAGCUCUGUUGUUAGAGAGGAACAUGGGUGAGAGUAACUGUUCACCCCUUGACGAUAUCUAACCAGAAAGCCACGGCUAACUACGUGCCAGCAGCCGCGGUAAUACGUAGGUGGCAAGCGUUGUCCGGAAUUCUUGGGCGUAAAGCGCGCGCUGGCGGUCUCUUAAGUCUGAUGUGAAAGCCCCCGGCUCAACCGGGUAGGGUCAUUGGAAACUGGGAGACUUGGGGACAGAAGAGGAGAGUGGAAUUCCAAGGGGAGCGGGGAAAUGCGUAGAUAUGUGGAGGAACACCAGUGGCGAAGGCGGCUCUCUGGUCUGUUACUGACGUUGGGGC